rnacentral:rRNA from 1 species
UACGGAGGAUGCGAGCGUUAUCCGGAUUUAUUGGGUUUAAAGGGUGCGUAGGCGGAAUAUCAAGUCAGCGGUAAAAUUGCGGGGCUCAACCUCGUCGAGCCGUUGAAACUGGCUGGCUUGAGUUGGGGAAAGGCAGGCGGAAUGCGCGGUGUAGCGGUGAGAUGCUUAGAUAUCGCGCAGAACCCCGAUUGCGAAGGCAGCGUACCGGCUCCACACUGACGCUGAGGCACGAAAGCGUGGGUAUCGAACAGG